rnacentral:rRNA from 1 species
AUUGAACGCUGGCGGAAUGCUUUACGCAUGCAAGUCGAGCGGCAGCGCGGCCUUCGGGCUGGCGGCGAGCGGCGAACGGGUGAGUAAUGCAUCGGAACAUGCCCAGUCGUGGGGGAUAACACUUCGAAAGAAGUGCUAAUACCGCAUACGUCCUGAGGGGGAAAGCGGGGGAUCGCAAGACCUCGCGCGAUUGGAGUGGCCGAUGUCAGAUUAGCUAGUUGGGGGGGUAAAGGCCUACCAAGGCGACGAUCUGUAGCUGGUCUGAGAGGAUGAUCAGCCACACUGGGACUGAGACACGGCCCAGACUCCUACGGGAGGCAGCAGUGGGGAAUUUUGGACAAUGGGGGCAACCCUGAUCCAGCCAUUCCGCGUGAGUGAAGAAGGCCUUCGGGUUGUAAAGCUCUUUCGGCAGGAACGAAACGGUGGGCUCUAACAUAGUCCGCUAAUGACGGUACCUGAAGAAGAAGCACCGGCUAACUACGUG